rnacentral:hammerhead_ribozyme from 1 species
AUCUAGCUGACGAGUCUCAAAUCGAAUGAAACGCGUGUUCUUGAU